rnacentral:rRNA from 1 species
UAACGGCCCACCAAGGCUAUGAUCGUUAGCUGGUCUGAGAGGAUGGUCAGCAACACUGGGACUGAGACACUGCCCAGACUCCUACGGGAGGCUGCAGUCGAGAAUCUUUUGCAAUGGGCGAAAGCCUGACAAAGCGACGCUGCGUGGAGGAUGAAGGCCUUCGGGUUGUAAACUCCUGUCGGGAGGGAAAAAUAAGCCGCCGGUGAAUAACCGGUGGAAUUGAUGGUACCUCCAGAGGAAGCCACGGCUAACUCUGUGCCAGCAGCCGCGGUAAUACAGAGGUGGCGAGCGUUGUUCGGAUUUACUGGGCGUAAAGGGUGCGUAGGCGGUCGAGUAAGUUGGAUGUGAAAGCCCAUGGCCCAACCAUGGAACUGCAUUUGAUACUGCUUGACUAGAGUACAGGAGGGGAGAGCGGAAUUCUUGGUGUAGCGGUGAAAUGCGUUGAUAUCAAGAAGAACACCGGUGGCGAAGGCGGCUCUCUGGAAUGUUACUGACGCUGAGGCACGAAAGCUGGGGGAGCAAACAGGAUUAGAUACCCUGGUAGUCCCAGCCGUAAACGGUGUCGACUUGGUGUGGGAGGAAUUAACCCCUUCCGUGCCGGAGCUAACG